UAAUUUUAAGGCCUUCAAGAGGUAUAAUCCAGUCAAGAGUUCAGGAAAAUUUCAGACCCAGUCAUUCAUUUUAUCUUUGCCACCUAACUUUUAUGUAGCUACAUCUUGAUCUGUAAUAACCCGUAAAAUAUCUGCAAACUAAACGCUAGACUGAAUCUAUAUUAACAUUCUGUCAGAUAAUAAUCAAUGGUAUCAUGAUAAUAAAAAGGUCACGUUGAGUUUAAAUACCAUUUCCAGUGUUUCAUAAAAAGUUCUAAAAAGGUCUCUUACCUGCAGUGAACAACCAUAGGGGUGGUGUCAUGUGCUCUGCUCGCUCGAACCAGCUUCACGAAGUGAACUAGAGCAGCACUGCUUUCAGGAACCCCAUGUUCAGGCCAAGCUGUAAAAUUACACUGUCGAAUGGCCAUGCAGUCCCCAUGCUGGACAAAUGAGAGAUGAUCUAAGUAUCGAAAUGAAGUUUGAGGAUAGCUGACUUCCCAGCGUUUCGAGGUGGUCUUUUAAAAUGCCUCUUGGGGAACAGAAGAAACUGUGUUUUCACGAUUUCCUAUGAGGGAGGGCAUCUACUGCUACCGUUAAAACGUUGCCCUCAGUGUGAAUGCACCUGUGAGAAGGCUUGCCGACAGAUGCUGACGCAGGGAUGUACAUUCAGAUGUAACGUAACGCCAGUGCCAGAAGACUAGAUUUUGAACAAUUUUGACCUAACCGCUUAAACAGAUACACUAAUUAUUCAAAACACAGGCACUGAGUAUCUGAUAAUAUCAGAAAGUAUAAAGAUCCUUGUAUCAUUUUCUGCGUGUACAGGCAUUUUUAUUAUAUAAGCGGGAGCCUAUCCUACUUCUUAUGUACCCGUUCUGGAUUAAAUAGAAAAGACAGUUAGGCUGUAGAUGGAGACACGAGAUUUGGGAAAUUCCUGUUUUAAGUCAAACAUUGCAGUUUCUUUAAAAAAUAAGAUAAACAGUGAUCUAGUUGUUUCCUUUGCCCUCUAAGAAUUUAGUUCUUAGUUAAUAAAUGGUUAAUAAAAACUUUAUCUAAUUUGGAAUUAAACACAGUGACAGACAUUGAAGACAGAUGCCGAUUCAAAACUUCUAUUUAGAAGAUAAUAGAAAAGCAGUACUAAAUAUGGAGUAAUCAAGGAAUACCUCUAGAAAUUAGUUUCAGUUUAGACAUUUAGAACAUUCAUAUUUUCUAUCAUGUUUGAUUUCUAUUUUUUUUACCCGUUCAAUUUUCAGAUCUCUGAUGGUCCAGUCUAUCUGAACAUCCUCCAUUAGCUUUGUAAUCACUAUAUCGCCAAAGACAGUAACUGGUUUAUUGUCCUCUGGCCAAUACUGAUGGCAUCUGAUCUGUAUUCAGAGAAAAUCACCAGUCAUAAGCAAUGUUAUACUGAGAUAUAUAAUAGAUACACAGAUGUAGAUAGAUAUAAUAAAUAUAUAUCUCACUGUGGCCACUACUAAGUUUAAACUGCCCUAGAGAUGUCCAAGUCAUUGGUGACUCAAGUAUUAGCUGGAAUUGCCACACAUAUAUUAACACAAUUAUAAAAUAACAUUCUGUGAAAAGAUUUUCAAAUAACUUACCCGUCCUUUUUCAAAACACUGUGUUAGCAUAACUAAUGUUUUUGCUCUAGUUUCCCACACCAUUCUCCAAAAAUCCCCAACUGUUCCUGGUAAUGGACCUUGAGUAGCAAUAAAUUCAUUUGGACAUAAGUAGCCCUGGAAUGAUAUGAUUAUAGCAUCACAUCAGUAUUUACACACAUACACAUACAUAUAGUAUUUUUUUAGUUUUUGAGCAACACACAGAAGAUAUACUAGUGGUAAGAUGACCGCUUCUUUUAAAAUAUUGUGUAUUUUUGAAUACUAAAUAGUAUUAGAUACUUAAAUUUUCCAACAAUUUUAGCAGUGUGAUAUACUGUACAACUAAGUUUCUAAAAUUUAUUUCUGAUUUUGGAAAAAACAAUAAAGACUAGAUAAUAAUAAUACCACUUUACGGCAGACAAAUAUGCGAAGCCUCUUAUAGUUAAUAUUUCAUUUAAUUAGUUUCUUAUAAAAACUUUGUGAACUAAUACCAUUAUUAUCCUUAUAAUACAAAUGAAGAUACUGAAGCUGAAAAAUAUGAAGAAAUUUGCUGAGGGUCUCAUAGUUGGAAAGAUAGUCUGAGUCCAGAGCCAGCUCUUACCCACUCCACUAAGUUACUGUCACCUGUCUAUGGAUUGUGCAGAUGUUUCCUGCUCUUCCUCUAAGAAAUGAGUUAUCUGUGUAAACUACGGCAUUGGUAUGUAUUCUCCAGAUCUCCAAACCAAGAGUAAUCUGGAGAUAGUAAGAAGGUUCAUUUAACUAACAUAGGGCCUGAGAUUGUCUCAACCCUACUAUGACAGGUUUUUUGGUUGUUGUUUUGUUUUUUGUUUGUUUGCUUUUUAGGGCCACAAUCGCGGCAUAUGGAGAUUCCCAGGCUAGGGGUUGAAUCAGAGCUGUAGCCACUGGCCUACGCCACAGCCACAGCCAUGCCGGAACCAAGCUGCGACUGUGACCUAUACCACAGCUCCAGCAACACUGGAUCCUUAACCCACUGGGCAAAGGUCAGGGAUUGAACCCACAACCUCAUGGAUACUAGUUGGAUUCAUCUCCACUGCGCCACAACGGGAACUCCUGACAGUUCUACAUAUUUUAUCAAAUUGUCCUAAAACUUGGUCCAUUCACCUAGAAUGUAAGCAUGCCACUUGAGUGGUAUCUGUGGAUUUUUCUUAAAGUUACUGUAAAAAUAAAAAAAAAUAGUUAUAGAAUUAAAAUUAUUCUAAGCAUCAAAAUAUUUUAGGGAAUGGGGAUUAAAGGUGAAUUUUAUUUUUAAUUUGGAAUUGUCUCAGUAGCCAGAGAAUAUAGUGUUACACAAAAAUAAUACACAUUUGAAAGUUCAAGGGGCUCUAAAACUAAAUCCAACCAGUUUGUUUUACUUUAAAGAAUACUGAGCCACUUUAGGUGAUUUUGCCAAAUCACGGUGCUAGCCAGUGACAGUUUCUGGGAUAAAAUCUAAUUUCUUAGACUAUAUGCCAAAGCAUUUCUUUGUUUCCAGUCUUAGUUGAAAUACUUGAGGAUGUAAUUAUUUUACAUUUGUUAAGUUUUUUUUUAGGUUAAAAAGUAAUAUAUAGUCAAUGUAGAUUAUUUGAAAAAUUCAGAAAAUUAUAUAAGAGAAUGUGGAAUUAGUCUGUAAUGUCAUUUCCAGAAUGAAGUACCUUGAGUACCAGGCACUGUUCUACCAUCUGAGGAUUCAUCACUGACCAAAAAAACCACUAAAAUUCCUAUACUCAUUUAUCUUAUAUUCUAAUUAGGGGAAAUAUAUGUUGUCUAUUAGUAAGUCUGUUAAAUAAACAAUUUACAUAGAGUUUUAUAAGUAAAAAGUGCUAUGAGAGGGAGUUUUAAGAAAAUAGAGUAUUCAGAAAAGACACUGGUGAAAUCUCAGGAAAGACUUAAAGAAGGGAGUAAGCCCUUCAAGUUUGGAGGAAAAGUGUUCCAGGUAGAAAGAAAGUCAAGUGUAACAGCCUUAAAGGAGAGGUGUGUCUGGAAUGUUCUAAGAACAGCAAGUGUCUGGGGUGGGGUGAGAGAGUAAUAAAAGAUGGCAUCGGAAAGAACAAGGGACAGAGGACAAUGGUGCUUGAGAUCCCAGAAUAGGUAGUUAUAGGAAUUUGGGUUUCGUUCUGAAUGAUAUGGAAAGCCCUUAUAGAGAGUGUAGGAUUUAAGAGUUUCACCCUGGUUUCUGUAAAACCAGCCUCUAGGGGUUUAAAGGAGAAAAGAGAGUCUGAAGGAGUUAGGUUAUUGCAAUAAUCAGCUAAGGUUGUUACUUUGGGUAAUAGCGAUGGGGAGUGUGAGCAGUGCUAAGAUCUGGAUUUAUUCUGAGGGCGGAGCCAAGAGAAUUUGCUGAUGGAUUGGAUGACAAAUAGAAGAGUCAAUAAUGAUUCCUGAUGAACAUGAGGAAGACUUCAGGAUGAGCCCAUUUAGAAGGAGAAUCAAAACUUCGUAGUGGAUAUUUUGAACUUGAAAUCCCUAUUGGAUAUUCAGAUGGGAAUAUCAUGAAGGCAGUUGGGUGUAUGAGUUUGGACUUUGGAAAUAAGUCCAAACUACAGACAUAAUUUGAAAGUAGUCAGCAGUUAGAACUUAUGUAAAAAUCACAAGUAUGGUUGAGAUUAUCAGGGAAAUGAAUUUGGAAAGAAACAGUAAAUUCAAGGGUUGGGCUCUAGAUAAUUUCAGUGCUCCUGGUGGCCAAGGAGCUAAGAGAAACCCAUUGACACUGAGAUAAAAUAGUCAAAGUUGUAAACAGAAAAUUGAGAGAAUGGUGUCCUGGAAGCCAAACGAAGGGACUAUUUCAAAGGUGAGGACAGGUAAUUGUAACUGAUCAAUUUAUAAAGAGCAUUGAUUAAACUUAAAUAUCUAAAUGUCUAUUUGCAUCAUUCUACAAAUCAAAGUAAAACUUCUACAUGCUAUAGAGUUUAGGCUAUAAUGGAAAUUGGUAAGCAUAAGCUUUCACUAAAAUCUUUAGAAGUACAUUUUCAGGGAAAUUGUUAUUUGAUGAAUAAUAAAAUGUGUUAUCACGAUAGUAAAUUUAUGUGGUUUUCUUCACUACAGAUAUAAAGUUUCAACACAAAAAUAGGGUGAAAUUCAAAGGCUGUCCUAACUCCUACAAACCCCUUGUAAAUCCCCCCCCUAUUAAGAAAUCUUAAAUUCUCUCCUUAUUCAUUCCUUUCACAGUAAGACUCAAAAUAUCAUUGUAAUUUUGGAGUAAUUUUCAACCAAUAUAAAAUUUAGAAUGAAUUCUUCCUUCCCCCUUAACAGAGGCUUAGGGAGAAUGGGACACAGGACAGGUUGUGUUUGCUUUUGAGGAAAGGAUGGAGCAUCACAUAAACAGAGCUCCAAUGGGACCAAAUGAAAUAGAAGGCCUGAGAAGGGUGAGAAGACUGAUGAAUAAGAAAAAUACAAAACCUAUAGGAGUGUAGGCAGAAAAGGAGAGCUUCAAGAAUUUGUAGGGGUUACUAUCAUAAGCAUGGUUAACCUUGCUGUAUAUCAGAAUUGAAGUCAGUGGGUGAAAAUACAAAGGAACAUACAUUGUUUUUAAAAAGUAACUGUAUAUUGUUCAGAGAUAGAAUCAUCUGCCUUAGGAGGAAAUGGGUGAAUCAGUGCCGCAAGAGGCUACUAAUUAUCAGUCAUUUUAAAUAAAGAAUUCCUAGGUGGAUGGUUGGGUUAAAUAACCACAAUAGCAAUUUCUAUUCUGAGAUUUCAUGAUUGUGUCAACCCAAGCAGAGGUCUGUGUACUUAACAAUAGUGGUGAGCACUCAGAGAACAAAAGAGCCAUAGAGAUGGAGAGGGAGAAGAGAGAUCCUUGAAACACUUGGGUUUUAUUCAGUUUUCAGUCCAAUGCAUCAAGCAUUUAUUAUCUGUGUUGUGCAACAUAGUAUACUAGGACUGUCACAGUUCACCCCAUGUUGGUUCAUUAAAGGUGUGUUUAUUGAGUAGCUACAAUGGAGUGCAUAUUCUAUUAAGUAGCUGAGAAUAGAAAGAAUACAGCAUCAUAGCCACCUCAAAGGGCUGAAAAUCUAGAAGGGAAGAAGGGCAUAAUAGGGUUUUUUUUUAAUUAUAUUCACAUGACUGUUGGUUCGACUAAUUUUUUUUUUUUGAAAGAGAGCUUGGCCAACCUCAUUGGGGACAGAGAAUAUACAGACAAAGAGGAAACAGUGGAAAGACCAGGGGACAUGUAGCUUGAAGUUGCACAUCUGCCACUUAAUAGUGCAAUGAUUGUUGGGUAAAUUGCAGUCUCUGUUAGAAGCCUCCAUUUCCGCAUCUAUAAAAUGGGGUACACAUUGUUGUAAGGAAUUAGCCCAUUAAAUCCAUAAAGGUUGUAAUGAAUUUCUUGUUUGAAAUAGUUGGAAGAGUAAUAUAAUUGCAGUCUUGAUGUUUUAUAGAAAUAUGAAAUGUAUAAAAAAUAGCAACUUACAGAAACAUAGCUGGCAUUAAUAUAAUCUGAUCCUGGAAUACUAGCAUCAGCUAUCAGCUUCACUCUGUUAUUAUUGUCUAGAAGAAAAUACAAGAAAUUAGUGCUAAUCAACUUUUUAAGUUGCUACUACUUUCUUACUUUAAAAGUAAUUCAGGGAGUUCCUGUCGUGGCUCAGUGAAAACGAAUCUGACUAGUACCCAUGAAGAUGUGGGUUCGAUCCCUGGCCCCGCUCAGUGGGUUAAGGAUCCAGCAUUGCUGUGAGCUGUGGUGUAGAUCACCAGUGUGGCUCAGAUCCCGCAUUGCUGUGGCUGUCGUGUAGGCUGGCAGCUGUAGCUCUGAUUGGAUCCCUAGUGUUGGAACUUCCAUAUGCUGCAGGCGCAGCCCUGAAAANAAAAAAAAAAAAAAAAAAAAAAAAAAAAAAAAAA
rnacentral:lncRNA from 1 species